UGGGGAAUUUUUGACAAUGGGGGAAACCCUGAUCCAGCCAUCCCGCGUGUGCGAUGAAGGCCUUCGGGUUGUAAAGCACUUUUGGCAGGAAAGAAACGUCAUGGGUUAAUACCCCGUGAAACUGACGGUACCAGCAGAAUAAGCACCGGCUAACUACGUGCCAGCAGCCGCGGUAAUACGUAGGGUGCAAGCGUUAAUCGGAAUUACUGGGCGUAAAGCGUGCGCAGGCGGUUCGGAAAGAAAGAUGUGAAAUCCCAGAGCUCAACUUUGGAACUGCAUUUUUAACUACCGGGCUAGAGUGUGUCAGAGGGAGGUGGAAUUCCGCGUGUAGCAGUGAAAUGCGUAGAUAUGCGGAGGAACACCGAUGGCGAAGGCAGCCUCCUGGGAUAACACUGACGCUCAUGCACGAAAGCGUGGGGAGCAAACAGG
rnacentral:rRNA from 1 species